rnacentral:rRNA from 1 species
AAUAUUGGGCAAUGGACGCAAGUCUGACCCAGCCAUGCCGCGUGAAGGAUGAAGGCCCUCUGGGUUGUAAACUUCUUUUAUUUGGGAAGAAACCACUCUUUUCCAGGAGUGUUGACGGUACCAGAUGAAUAAGCACCGGCUAACUCCGUGCCAGCAGCCGCGGUAAUACGGAGGGUGCAAGCGUUAUCCGGAUUCACUGGGUUUAAAGGGUGCGUAGGCGGGCAGGUAAGUCAGUGGUGAAAUCUUCGAGCUUAACUCGGAAACUGCCGUUGAUACUAUCGGUCUUGAAUAUCGUUGAGGUAAGCGGAAUAUGUCAUGUAGCGGUGAAAUGCUUAGAUAUGACAUAGAACACCAAUUGCGAAGGCAGCUUGCUAAACGAUCAUUGACGCUGAUGCACGAAAGCGUGGGGAUCAAACAGG